rnacentral:rRNA from 1 species
CUGGCGGCAUGCCUUACACAUGCAAGUCGAACGGCAGCACGGGUGCUUGCACCUGGUGGCGAGUGGCGAACGGGUGAGUAAUAUAUCGGAACGUGCCCUAGAGUGGGGGAUAACGUAGCGAAAGUUACGCUAAUACCGCAUACGAUCUACGGAUGAAAGUGGGGGAUCGCAAGACCUCAUGCUCAUGGAGCGGCCGAUAUCUGAUUAGCUAGUUGGUGGGGUAAAAGCCUACCAAGGCGACGAUCAGUAGCUGGUCUGAGAGGACGACCAGCCACACUGGGACUGAGACACGGCCCAGACUCCUACGGGAGGCAGCAGUGGGGAAUUUUGGACAAUGGGGGCAACCCUGAUCCAGCAAUGCCGCGUGUGUGAAGAAGGCCUUCGGGUUGUAAAGCACUUUUGUCAGGAACGAAACGGUGGGGGCUAAUACCUUCUGCUAAUGACGGUACCUGAAGAAUAAGCACCGGCUAACUACGUGCCAGCAGCCGCGGUAAUACGUAGGGUGCGAGCGUUAAUCGGAAUUACUGGGCGUAAAGCGUGCGCAGGCGGUUGUGCAAGACAGAUGUGAAAUCCCCGGGCUCAACCUGGGAAUUGCAUUUGUGACUGCACGGCUAGAGUGUGUCAAAGGGGGUAGAAUUCCACGUGUAGCAGUGAAAUGCGUAGAUAUGUGGAGGAAUACCGAUGGCGAAGGCAGCCCCCUGGGAUAACACUGACGCUCAU